CCACAGUCAACAAAACUAAUAAUAAUUCAAAGGCUAUGCCAAUAGACUGGAAUAUCAAAAGGAGCUGCCAAGCUGAAAAUACUAGAUGGAUGGAAUAUCUGCCUCUUGAAUAUGAGACUGGCUAAGUUCAGAGUACAUCAGAAGUCAACCACAGGGAUACAAACUGAAUGAGGACCUUCUCUAAAUCUCCACCAACUAGUAUGAUGUAUUUAUUUAACUGAUUCAAAUUUGUAAUAUUGGAUUAAGGAGCUCCUGGAUAUACAGGAAGAAGCUAGUAUUCUAAGGGCUCCAUUACCCAGACAAAGGAAGAAUAAAAGAUGGAAUCCUGGGAAUCUGUUCCUCUGCCCUUUCUUGAAAGUGAUGGAGACUUCGCUUCUGAACCUGGGGUGAUGGUUGUAGCAGAAGGGGGGAAACCAAGCGAAAGAUUGGAUCUCCUUACCUCAUUCAGGCUGCAAAGUCCAUUCCUGGACUUUCCUCCACAGCUGAUCUCCAGAUCUGCUUUGUUUCAAAACUAG
rnacentral:lncRNA from 1 species